CGGCGAAGGGAGAGUAACGCGUAGAUAUCUGCCUCGAGGCCCGGGAUAGCGGCGGGAAACUGCCGGUAAUACCGGAUAACAUCUCCGGAUCAAAGGUGUGAUUCCGCCUCGAGAUGAGUCUGCGUCCUAUUAAUGCUUGUUGGUGUGGUAACGGCGCACCAAGGCGAAGAUGGGUACCGGGUGUGAGAGCAUGGCCCGGCUCACUGGGACUGAGACACUGCCCAGACACCUACGGGUGGCUGCAGUCGAGAAUCUUCGGCAAUGGGCGAAAGCCUGACCGAGCGACGCCGCGUGCGGGAUGAAGGCCCUCGGGUUGUAAACCGCUGUCAGUAGGGAGCAAAUCUCUUGGGGUUAUCCCCUUGAGUUGAGCGAUCCUCAAAGGAAGCACAGGCUAAGUUCGUGCCAGCAGCCGCGGUAAUACGAACUGUGCAAACGUUAUUCGGAAUCACUGGGCUUAAAGGGUGCGUAGGCGGGUUUAAAGGUCUGAUGUGAAAGCCCACGGCUCAACCGUGGAAUUGCGUUGGAAACCAUGAACCUUGAGGGAGUCAGAGGUAAGCGGAACUGAUGGUGGAGCGGUGAAAUGCGUUGAUAUCAUCAGGAACACCAGAGGCGAAGGCGGCUCACUGGGUCCUUUCUGACGCUGAGGGACGAAAGCUAGGGGAGCAAACGGGAUUAGAUACCCCGGUAGUCCUAGCUGUAAACGAUGAGCACUAGAUCGAGGGGACUUCCACAUCUUCUCGGUCGUAGCGAAAGUGUUAGUGCUCCGCCUGGGGGAGUAUGGUCGCAAGGGCUGAUACCUCAAAGG
rnacentral:rRNA from 1 species